rnacentral:rRNA from 1 species
GAUGAACGCUGGCGGCGUGCCUAAUACAUGCAAGUCGAGCGAACAGACGAGGAGCUUGCUCCUCUGACGUUAGCGGCGGACGGGUGAGUAACACGUGGAUAACCUACCUAUAAGACUGGGAUAACUUCGGGAAACCGGCGCUAAUACCGGAUAAUAUAUUGAACCGCAUGGUUCAAUAGUGAAAGACGGUUUUGCUGUCACUUAUAGAUGGAUACGCGCCGGAUUAGCUAGUUGGUAAGGUCACGGCUUACCAAGGCGACGAUGCGUAGCCGACCUGAGAGGGUGAUCGGCCACACUGGAACGGAGACACGGUCCAGACGCCUACGGGAGGCAGCAGUAGGGAAUCGUCCGCAAUGGGCGAAAGCCUGACGGAGCAACGCCGCGUGAGUGAUGAAGGUCUUCGGAUCGUAAAACUCUGUUAUGAGGGAAGAACAAAUGUGUAAGUAACUAUGCACGUCUUGACGGUACCUAAUCAGAAAGCCACGGCUAACUACGUG